UGAGGAAUAUUGGUCAAUGGGCGCAAGCCUGAACCAGCCAUCCCGCGUGAAGGAUGACGGCCUUAUGGGUUGUAAACUUCUUUUGUAUGGGAAGAAACCUUGGAACGUGUUCCAAGCUGACGGUACCAUGCGAAUAAACAUCGGCUAACUCCGUGCCAGCAGCCGCGGUAAUACGGAGGAUGCAAGCGUUAUCCGGAUUCAUUGGGUUUAAAGGGUGCGUAGGUGGAGUAGUAAGUCAGUGGUGAAAUCCUACAGCUUAACUGUAGAACUGCCGUUGAUACUGCUAUUCUUGAGUAUAUUUGGAGUGGGCGGAAUGUGUCAUGUAGCGGUGAAAUGCAUAGAUAUGACACAGAACACCGAUCGCGAAGGCAGCUCACUAAACUAUUACUGACACUGAGGCACGAAAGCGUGGGGAGCAAACAGG
rnacentral:rRNA from 1 species